GGGUAGAUAUGGAGACCGACUAGUCUAGAUCAUGAACUUUAAAGGUGCCUGUAUUGAAUUGUCUCACAUAGUCCUUAAGAGACUUUCCCUCUCUCUGCUGGAUAUUGACGAGGAAAUCUAACAUGCGGUAUUGUCUUCUACUAUUAUUGAAGUGUGCCCCAAACAUCCCAUUGAGCUGCUCGAAGGAAUGGAUCAUGCUUGACUAAAAGCUCAAGUACCAAUAUCAGGCC
rnacentral:lncRNA from 1 species